AGUGAACGCUGGCGGUAGGCCUAACACAUGCAAGUCGAACGGCAGCACAGUAAGAGCUUGCUCUUACGGGUGGCGAGUGGCGGACGGGUGAGGAAUACAUCGGAAUCUACUUUUUCGGGGGGGAUAACGUAGGGAAACUUACGCUCAUACCGCAUACGACCUACGGGUGAAAGCAGGGGAUCUUCUGACCUUGCGCGAAUGAAUGCGCCGAUGUCGGGUUAGCUAGUUGGCGGGGUAAAGGCCCACCAAGGCGACGAUCCGUAGCUGGUGUGAGAGGAUGAUAUGCCACCCUGGAGCUGGGACACGGUCCAGACUCCUACGGGAGGCAGCAGUGGGGAAUAUUGGACAAUGGGCGCAAGCCUGAUCCAGCCAUACCGCGUGGGUGAAGAAGGCCCUCCGGUUGUAAAGCCCGUUUGUUGGGAAAGAAAAGCAGCAGGUUAAUACCCCGCUGUUCUGACGGUACCCAAAGAAUAAGCACCGGCUAACUUCGUG
rnacentral:rRNA from 1 species